rfam:Salmo salar isolate Sally breed double haploid chromosome ssa10, whole genome shotgun sequence.
UAGCUCAGUUGGUAGAGCAUGGUGUUUGCAACGCCAGGGUUGUGGGUUCGAUUCCAC